rnacentral:rRNA from 1 species
AGAAUCAACGCUGGCGGCGUGCCUAACACAUGCAAGUCGCACGAGAAAGGGACUUCGGUCCUGAGUACAGUGGCGCACGGGUGAGUAACACGUGAAUAAUCUACCUCCGAGUGGGGAAUAACUGAGAGAAAUCUUAGCUAAUACCGCAUAACACUUACGAGUCAAAGCAGCAAUGCGCUUGGAGAGGAGUUCGCGGCAGAUUAGUUAGUUGGCGGGGUAAUGGCCCACCAAGACGAUGAUCGGUA